rnacentral:rRNA from 1 species
GACGAACGCUGGCGGCGUGCUUAACACAUGCAAGUCGAACGGAAAGGCCCUGCUUUUGUGGGGUGCUCGAGUGGCGAACGGGUGAGUAACACGUGAGUAACCUGCCCUUGACUUUGGGAUAACUUCAGGAAACUGGGGCUAAUACCGGAUAGGAGCUCCUGCUGCAUGGUGGGGGUUGGAAAGUUUCGGCGGUUGGGGAUGGACUCGCGGCUUAUCAGCUUGUUGGUGGGGUAGUUGCUUACCAAGGCUUUGACGGGUAGCCGGCCUGAGAGGGUGACCGGGCACAUGGGGACUGCGGUAGGGCGCAGACUCGUACGGGGGGCAGCAGGGGGGAAUAUUGCACAAUGGGCGGAAGCCUGAGGCAGCAACGCCGCGUGCGGGAUGACGGCCUUCGGGUUGUAAACCGCUUUCGCCUGUGACGAAGCGUGAGUGACGGUAAUGGGUAAAGAAGCACCGGCUAACUACGUG